UACAGAGGUCCCAAGCGUUGUUCGGAUUUAUUGGGCGUAAAGGGCGCGUAGGCGGCCAUUCAAGUCGGGGGUGAAAGCCUGUGGCUCAACCACAGAAUUGCCUUCGAUACUGUUUGGCUUGAGACCGGAAGAGGUAAGUGGAACUGCGAGUGUAGAGGUGAAAUUCGUAGAUAUUCGCAAGAACACCAGUGGCGAAGGCGGCUUACUGGUCCGGUUCUGACGCUGAGGCGCGAAAGCGUGGGGAGCAAACAGG
rnacentral:rRNA from 1 species